rnacentral:rRNA from 1 species
CCUACGGGUGGCAGCAGUGGGGAAUAUUGUACAAUGGGCGCAAGCCUGAUGCAGCCAUGCCGCGUGUGUGAAGAAGGCCUUCGGGUUGUAAAGCACUUUCAGCGGGGAGGAAGGCGUUAAGGUUAAUAACCUUGGCGAUUGACGUUACCCGCAGAAGAAGCACCGGCUAACUCCGUGCCAGCAGCCGCGGUAAUACGGAGGGUGCAAGCGUUAAUCGGAAUUACUGGGCGUAAAGCGCACGCAGGCGGUCUGUCAAGUCGGAUGUGAAAUCCCCGGGCUCAACCUGGGAACUGCAUUCGAAACUGGCAGGCUAGAGUCUUGUAGAGGGGGGUAGAAUUCCAGGUGUAGCGGUGAAAUGCGUAGAGAUCUGGAGGAAUACCGGUGGCGAAGGCGGCCCCCUGGACAAAGACUGACGCUCAGGUGCGAAAGCGUGGGGAGCAAACAGGAUUAGAUACCCCAGUAGUC